CGUAGACACUGAUAUUGUAUUAAUACUAUAGAAGGUCGUUAAUAACGAUUAAUAAUAAUAAUGGACCUAGGGGAAAAAACUAUCAAGGCACAGGAUAAAAGAAACAAACGCAAGAAAGACUGGGGGCAUUAUGGGGAAUACAUGAGUGCUAAACUUAGGAAGCUUGAUGAGCAGUUUACAGCUGACGUCCAUUCUGCUGCUACAGAAAGUAGAGAGUCAUCAGCCAUCUUCCAAGGACUAGCUAUUUUCAUAAAUGGUUAUACAAUUCCUCCAGCUGAUGACUUAAGAAAGCUAUUUGUUCUUCAUGGAGGAAGGUUUCAGCAGUAUUUUUCACGGUCGUCUGUUACACACAUCAUUGCUACUAAUCUUCCCAACAGCAAGAUCACUGAAAUCAGAGACAAGAAGAUAGUGCGUCCCCAGUGGAUCCUUGACAGUAUUGAACAAGGGCGUUGUUUGCCGAUAGACCAAUAUCUGUUGUACAGUGGUCGACUGGCUUUGCAGAAACGACUGAACUUUUCCAAUGCUGAUCAAUCUGUACAAUCAACUGUUCAGCAUCCAUCAUCCAAGGAAAAGAAAAAUACUGUCUGCUGUAUCGAUUCUGAAAUUCCUACAAUAAAUGUAGAUACAUUAAAUGCUGAAAAACCUUCAAACACUGAAAAUAAACAAAAAUUYGAUUCUGAUGCACCAUUAGAUAUGUCUGUGGAUUUUGCCAAUUCAUCCAUCCUAAUGGACCUUCCCAUGGCUAAUGAUGAUAAGGGUGAUGAUGAUGCUUCAACAAAAGCAAAACGACAUGUGGAUAAUACAGGAAUACCAGUUAUGGACAAAGAAAUAAACACUAGGCAUCUUAAGGCAGGGGAGCCUAAUUUUAUGACUGAGUUUUAUAGUAACUCUAGGCUGCAUCAUCUUUCAACGUGGAGUGCAGAAUUUAAACAGUUUACUAGUGAUCUGAUAAAGGCUAGAAUACGAAAGGGCAUAGUUCCUCAUCAAAAUCCUGGACCAGCAUCUUACGGCAGGGUUAUUAUGCAUGUUGAUAUGGACUGUUUCUUUGUAUCUGUUGGUCUAAGAAACAAACCAAGUCUUCUGGGAAAACCUGUUGCAGUUUGUCAUGCUGGGAAAACUAACACUGGGAAAGAGGUAAUAUCUCCUGGAAAAGAAAUGUCAGCUUCGUUUUUCACCUCCAUGUCUGAAAUAGCAUCUUGUAGUUAUGAAGCCAGAAAAGCUGGAGUUCGCAAUGGUAUGUUCCUUGGUGCUGCUCGCCGGCUCUGCCCUGACAUUAUCUGUAUCCCUUACAACUUCCAAGACUACAGAGAUGUAUCUAAAAAGAUGUUUGAAACACUGGUUCAGUAUUCGCAUGAUAUUGAAGCCGUGAGUUGUGAUGAGGCAUACCUUGAUGUGACACAUAGUUUGGAUGAUCAAACUACGCCACUUGCUCUUGCUCAGAAGAUGCGCAAUGAGAUAAAAGGAAAGACAGGUUGUAAUGUGUCUGUUGGUAUUGGUAACAAUGUGUUGCUGGCAAGGAUGUGCACUAGAAUUGCAAAACCUAAUGGACAAUUCUACUUAUCUGCAGAAGAUGAUGUGUUAGAGUUUGUAGGUAGUCAAAAGGUCACAGAUCUUCCAGGCAUUGGCCGAGCACAAGGUCACAAGUUGAAGUCCCUGGGUAUAGAUUCUUGCGCAGAUCUUCAAAAAUGCAGCCUUCAAUUCCUGCAGCAAACUUUUGGAGAAAAAACAGGAUUUACACUUUAUGGUUUCUGUCGGGGAGAAGACGAUCGGCCUAUAAGGGUGGAAAGAGAGAGGAAAUCAGUUUCCGCUGAAAUAAACUAUGGAAUGCGGUUUACAAAAGAAUCAGAAGCGGAGCAUUUUAUUGAUGAACUAUCUCGAGAAGUACAGAAAAGGUUGAAAGAGUGUGGUGUGAAGGGUCGCUCCAUCACCCUAAAGCUCAAGGUUCGACGUCAGGGAGCCCAAGAACCACUCAAGUUCAUGGGUCAUGGUAUAUGUGACAAUAUUGCACGGUCUGCAGGUCUACAAGUCCCUACUGAUGACUCAAGGUUGAUAUUCAAGAAGUGCCAGUCUCUUUUCCGUCAACUUAGAGUUUCAUCGUCAGAUGUCAGGGGAUUGGGUAUCCAAGUGAGCAAAUUGACACAUUCUGGUGGUGCUGCUCGUACCUUACAUGACUAUGCGCAGACAAUCACUUCAACGGACAAUAAUCGUUUUGAAUGUCAGUCGAGGGAAAAGGAGAAUGAAAAUAAAAUUGUUACGAGCUUGAAACACGACGAAGAUAGUGGCUUACUAAGUGGCAUUUUGAACAGUUCUUCAGAAUCUCCCCCGAACUCGUUUUGUUAUGUAAAGGAACGUCAUGGCGAUUGUUCAUCGCCAACGAGAAGGGAAUCAAUAAUUAACUAUGAAGCACUUGAAAUGGAUUCCCAGAUAUUUCCCCCAUUACCAAGGUUUACUCCUCAACCUCGAUCCACGUCCUCGGCCAAAAGAGAGGUUGAAAGUGUCCAGACUUUUGACGAGGAUCUUUGUCUGCCUUCCUUUUCUCAGCUAGAUGUUAGCGCACUUAAUGCAUUACCUAAAGAUAUGAGGUUGAAAAUCGAAAAGCAUUAUAGUAAAGAUAAAGAGAAGACAGCUAAAGAGCCAGUCGUUACAGAAGAUAACCGAUCGCUACAGAAAUCUCCACAGACAAGUGAAUCAAGCCCUCCUCGUCUUGGUGGAGAAGUAACCUUGUCAGGAGUCAAAAGUGUCAUCAAGGAAUGGGCAAGCACAGAGGCUCCUAUUAAAGAAGAUGUUGAAGUCGUGAGCAGUUACUUGUUAGACCUGAUUAUGAAAAAGAACAUGGAACUACUGCAUCUCCUUAUCAAGUUCUUAAUCAGGUGCAUCAAGAAGACCGAAAACAGUGACUGGCAGUCAGCGUGUGAAGACAUUGUUGAUCGAGUACAGAUGUGUUUUAUUCAACAUUAUGGAGCCCCUUUGGUGUUAUAGGUUUAUUUAAAAAGAAAGCUUCAAAAAUGUUUCCAGCGACAUUUCAAAUCCAGUGCAGAGGCGUUGUUAAAACGUACGAGCAAUAACGAUCCGAAGAAAGUGUUGUUGUUCCUGUCGUAAUAGUGAAGUGCCUGACCCAAUACUUUAUUACGUAAGUAUUACGCACGACUGAAAUAAGAAAGAGUAUAAUCACUGAUAUCACAACGAGCCACAAUCAAGUAAUUCGUCAAGUUAGUAAAGGUAGUGAUCUUGUAUAAUACUUAUAGUCCAAGUGUUUGUAGAAUGAUAUGAAUAAAUAUCUCAGUGUUAAAUAAGAAGUUCAUUUGAACAUGAUCGAGGAAGACGACCUUGUGUUUUAUUAAUUCGGGAAGCGAUUCGAAUGAGCAAACAAAAAGAGAUUGAGGAGAUUGAAGACACUAUAACUAACCAACGUACCGACCAAACAGAAGAUAAAAGAAUAAGUUAUGAAUUAUUCAACCAAUGAAUUUGGAGAAAUUAGGCAACGAACGAUCGCAUGUGCGCGCAAACGAACGAAUUAACGAAAGAACGAAAAAAAGAAAGAAAGAAUUAAUGAAUUAAUGAAUGGAAAAAGAAAAAAAGGAAAAAGCAAACAAACGAAUGAAUGAAUGAGCAAACGAACACCAACCUAAGAAACAAGUUAGCGAACAAAAAAAAAAAAAAAAAAAAAAAAAAAAAAAAAAAAAAAAAAAAAAAAAAAGAAGCAAAUUCGAGCGCAAAGCAUCUUGGGAUGAAUGAACCAGCGACCUUGAAAGGCGGAAGAAAAAAAGCGGUCAAAUCCAAUAUCUCUGGACGUUAAUCUUUCAUUCCAUCUUCAACAAGUAGAAUGAUUAUAGUUUGGUCUAGUAUAGUAAUCUUGAAUCAUUGUUUGACCACCAGUAGGUGAAAACCCCCUUAAGGUUGAUUUUCAACAAUAUGUAGAUUAAAUAAGGACUUAAGAAGAUUUCAAAGCCAUGCAGGCAUACACAAAAUGARAGCGGAACUGAAGAAACGACCAAGCAUCGGCUUUCAAACACUACUGAUAUCAGACUAGAUAUACCUCAUACCCCCUCUAAGGGCUCUACUUUCAAAUUUGCUGAGUGAUUAAAUUAAGACAUUAUGUAAAUUAUACAUUAUUCUUGCAUUUCCCUUUCGAUGUUUCUCUCUGCCUUAAUUUUUCUAAUCGAAUGAAAAAAAUAAUAGUUUGUAUAUCAAAAGGCAGUUUUCUUUAUGGAAUUAAUUUAUUAUACUGCAGUUUAAGCCCUGCUCUUUAAUACUGAAGCUUUUAAGGCGAGAUUGUUAUUAAUAGCAUUAUAGCAUGGGCAARAAAUAAGAUAGUGUUAUUGCCGAGAAUGGAUGUCGGUCGUUCUAGAUUUUGUCUCAGUGAAAUUUGAAUUUUUUUAAACCGCAUCGAAUGUCGAAUGAAUCCGCGCUCGUUCUUUCGGUGAAAUACAAUUACUGAUGUUUGUUGUUUGCGCAGUUGGUUUAGAGAUAUUAGGGUUAUUGGCGGUCAAUCCAAGGCCGAUAUCGAUCAAGUCCAAUCCCGAAGCAAAAACACACAGAUAAAUGAACUUCAUUGAUAUAGGAUUUCUUUCUGAAAUAUAAGACUUCUGUCUAGUCAGACCAUCGGUCUUAUUACGAUAUUUACACCGGUUUAAUACAACUCUAAGUUUCCUGUUAAAACCGAAAACCAUGAAAUUUAAACUACAGAACUCACGGCAGAA